GACGGAAGGUGCAAGCGUUGCUCGGAAUCACUGGGCGUAAAGGGUGCGUAGGCGGCCGUGCAAGUCUGGCGUGAAAGCCCCGGGCUCAGCCCGGGAAGUGCACUCGAAACUGCGCGGCUCGAGUGCCGGAGGGGAGAGUGGAAUUCCUGGUGUAGCGGUGAAAUGCGUAGAUAUCAGGAGGAAUACCGGUGGCGAAAGCGGCUUUCUGGACGGUAACUGACGCUGAGGAGCGAAAGCGUGGGUAGCGAACAGG
rnacentral:rRNA from 1 species